UACGGGGGGGGCGAGCGUUGUUCGGAAUUACUGGGCGUAAAGGGCUCGUAGGCGGCCAACUAAGUCAUACGUGAAAUCCCCCGGCUUAACCGGGGAACUGCGUCUGAUACUGGAUGGCUUGAGUUCGGGAGAGGGAUGCGGAAUUCCAGGUGUAGCGGUGAAAUGCGUAGAUAUCUGGAGGAACACCGGUGGCGAAGGCGGCAUCCUGGACCGAUACUGACGCUGAGGAGCGAAAGCCAGGGGAGCAAACGGG
rnacentral:rRNA from 1 species